rnacentral:ncRNA from 1 species
UAGGUGCUUAUGCAAAUAAGCUUAAAAGGGAAGCUUGGUGAAAAUCCAACACUGUCCCGCAACUGUAAAUUCGGAGCGAGUCAUAACAAGCCACUGUGAAAAUGGGAAGGCAUGAUGAGCGUAGAUGAAAAGUCAGGAGACCUGCCUUAUUC